ACCGGCGGACGGGUGCGUAACACGUGGGAAUAUACCUUUCGGUACGGAACAACUGAGGGAAACUUCAGCUAUACCGUAUACGUCCUUACGGAGAAAGAUUUAUCGCCGAAGGAUUAGCCCGCGUUCGAUUAGCUAGUUGGUGAGGUAAUGGCUCACCAAGGCAACGAUCGAUAGCUGUUCUGAGAGGAAGAUCAGCCACACUGGGACUGAGACACGGCCCAGACUCCUACGGGAGGCAGCAGUUGGGAAUCUUGGACAAUGGGGGAAACCCUGAUCCAGCCAUGCCGCGUGAGUGAUGAAGGCCUUCGGGUUGUAAAGCUCUUUUACCCGGGAAGAUAAUGACUGUGCCGGGAGGAUAAGCUCCGGCUAACUUCGUGCCAGCAGCCGCGGUAAUACGAAGGGGGCUAGCGUUGUUCGGAAUUACUGGGCGUAAAGCGCGCGCAGGCGGUUUCUCAAGUCAGUGGUGAAAGCCCGGAGCUCAACUCCGGAACUGCCAUUGA
rnacentral:rRNA from 1 species